rnacentral:rRNA from 1 species
GGUGUCCAUGGCGGAGGGGAUCCACCCGUUCCCAUCCCGAACACGGUAGUUAAGCCCUCCAGCGCCGAAGGUACUGCACUGGCGACGGUGUGGGAGAAUAGGUCGAUGCC